UACGGAGGAUGCAAGCGUUAUCCGGAUUUAUUGGGUUUGAAGGGUGCGUAGGCGGAGCGGUAAGUCAGAGAUGAAAUCUUCCAGCUUAACUGGGAAACUGUCUUUGAUACUGUCGUUCUUGAGUAUAGUUGAGGUGGGCGGAAUGUGUAAUGUAGCGGUGAAAUGCAUAGAGAUUACACAGAACACCAAUUGCGAAGGCAGCUCGCUAAACUAUUACUGACGCUGAGGCACGAAAGCGUGGGGAGCGAACAGGAUUAGAUACCCCCGUA
rnacentral:rRNA from 1 species